rnacentral:rRNA from 1 species
CCUACGGGGGGCAGCAGUGGGGAAUAUUGGACAAUGGGGGGAACCCUGAUCCAGCCAUGCCGCGUGUGUGAAGAAGGCCCUCGGGUUGUAAAGCACUUUCAGUGAGGAAGAACGCCUGGUGGUUAAUACCCAUCAGGAAAGACAUCACUCACAGAAGAAGCACCGGCUAACUCCGUGCCAGCAGCCGCGGUAAUACGGAGGGUGCGAGCGUUAAUCGGAAUUACUGGGCGUAAAGCGCGCGUAGGUGGCUUGAUAAGCCGGUUGUGAAAGCCCCGGGCUCAACCUGGGAACGGCAUCCGGAACUGUCAAGCUAGAGUACAGGAGAGGAAGGUAGAAUUCCCGGUGUAGCGGUGAAAUGCGUAGAGAUCGGGAGGAAUACCAGUGGCGAAGGCGGCCUUCUGGACUGACACUGACACUGAGGUGCGAAAGCGUGGGUAGCAAACAGGAUUAGAUACCCUAGUAGUC